AAAGCGUGCGCAGGCGGUUUUGUAAGUCUGUCGUGAAAGCCCCGGGCUUAACCUGGGAAUUGCGAUGGAGACUGCAAGGCUUGAAUCUGGCAGAGGGGGGUAGAAUUCCACGUGUAGCAGUGAAAUGCGUAGAGAUGUGGAGGAACACCGAUGGCGAAGGCAGCCCCCUGGGUCAAGAUUGACGCUCAUGCACGAAAGCGUGGGGAGCAAACAGGAUUAGAUACCCGGGU
rnacentral:rRNA from 1 species